AGAGUGAACGCUGGCGGCGUGCCUAACACAUGCAAGUCGAACGAGAACGGAACUAGCUUGCUAGUUUGUCAGCUAAGUGGCGCACGGGUGAGUAAUAUAUAGUUAAUCUGCCCCAAAGAAGAGAAUAAUUGUUGGAAACGACUUGUAAUGCUCUAUAUGCCUUUAUCACAUAAGUGAGCAAGGGAAACAUUUAUGGCUUUGGGAUGAGACUGUACGGUAUCAGCUAGUUGGUGAGGUAAUGGCUCACCAAGGCUAUGACAUCUAACUGGUUUGAGAGGAUGAUCAGUCACACUGGAACUGAGACACGGUCCAGACUCCUACGGGAGGCAGCAGUGGGGAAUAUUGCACAAUGGACGAAAGUCUGAUGCAGCAACUCCGCGUGGAGGAUGACACAUUUCGGUGCGUAAACUCCUUUUAUAUGAGAAGAUAAUGACGGUAUCAUAUGAAUAAGCACCGGCUAACUCCGUGCCAGCAGCCGCGGUAAUACGGGGGGUGCAAGCGUUACUCGGAAUCACUGGGCGUAAAGAGCAUGUAGGCUGGUUUGUAAGUUGGAAGUGAAAUCCUAUGGCUUAACCAUAGAACUGCUUCCAAAACUGCAGACCUAGAAUAUGGGAGAGGUAGAUGGAAUUUCUGGUGUAGGGGUAAAAUCCGUAGAGAUCAGAAGGAAUACCGAUUGCGAAGGCGAUCUACUGGAACAUUAUUGACGCUGAGAUGCGAAAGCGAGGGGAGCAAACAGGAUUAGAUACCCUGGUAGUCCACGCCCUAAACGAUGCACACUAGUUGUUGCCUUGCUCGACAAGGCAGUAAUGCAGUUAACACAGUAAGUGUGCCGCCUGGGGAGUACGGUCGCAAGAUUA
rnacentral:rRNA from 1 species